AGUGAACGCUGGCGGCAUGCCUUACACAUGCAAGUCGAACGGCAGCAUGAUCUAGCUUGCUAGAUUGAUGGCGAGUGGCGCACGGGUGAGUAAUACAUCGGAACGUGCCCUGUAGUGGGGGAUAACUAGUCGAAAGAUUAGCUAAUACCGCAUACGACCUGAGGGUGAAAGUGGGGGACCGCAAGGCCUCAUGCUAUAGGAGCGGCCGAUGUCUGAUUAGCUAGUUGGUGAGGUAAAGGCUCACCAAGGCGACGAUCAGUAGCUGGUCUGAGAGGACGAUCAGCCACACUGGGACUGAGACACGGCCCAGACUCCUACGGGAGGCAGCAGUGGGGAAUUUUGGACAAUGGGCGAAAGCCUGAUCCAGCAAUGCCGCGUGUGUGAAGAAGGCCUUCGGGUUGUAAAGCACUUUUGUCCGGAAAGAAAUGGCUCUGGUUAAUACCUGGGGUCGAUGACGGUACCGGAAGAAUAAGGACCGGCUAACUACGUG
rnacentral:rRNA from 1 species